GAUGAACGCUGGCGGCGUGCCUAAUACAUGCAAGUCGAACGCGAAAGGUCUGAAGCCUUCGGGCGGAGGGCCGAGUAGAGUGGCGAACGGGUGAGGAACACGUAGGUGACCUGCCCCGGAGAGGGGGAUAACCGUCGGAAACGGCGGCUAAUACCCCAUAAGCUCACGCGAGUUAGAGGGCGUGUGAGAAAAGCUCCGGCGCUCCGGGAGGGGCCUGCGGCCCAUCAGCUAGUUGGUAGGGUAAAGGCCUACCAAGGCGAAGACGGGUAGGGGGCCUGAGAGGGUGGUCCCCCACAUGGGAACUGAGACACGGUCCCAACUCCUACGGGAGGCAGCAGUAAGGAAUAUUGCACAAUGGGCGCAAGCCUGAUGCAGCAACGCCGCGUGCCCGAGGACGGCCUUCGGGUUGUAAAGGGCUUUUCUGGCUGACGAGGAAGGACGGUAGGCCAGGAAUAAGCGUCGGCUAACUACGUG
rnacentral:rRNA from 1 species